rnacentral:rRNA from 1 species
GGUGAACGCUGGCGGUAGGCCUAACACAUGCAAGUCGAACGGCAGCACAGUAAGAGCUUGCUCUUACGGGUGGCGAGUGGCGGACGGGUGAGGAAUACAUCGGCAUCUACUUUUUCGUGGGGGAUAACGUAGGGAAACUUACGCUAAUACCGCAUACGACCUACGGGUGAAAGCAGGGGAUCUUCGGACCUUGCGCGAUUGAAUGAGCCGAUGUCGGAUUAGCUAGUUGGCGGGGUAAAGGCCCACCAAGGCGACGAUCCGUAGCUGGUCUGAGAGGAUGAUCAGCCACACUGGAACUGAGACACGGUCCAGACUCCUACGGGAGGCAGCAGUGGGGAAUAUUGGACAAUGGGCGCAAGCCUGAUCCAGCCAUACCGCGUGGGUGAAGAAGGCCUUCGGGUUGUAAAGCCCUUUUGUUGGGAAAGAAAAGCAGCAGGUUAAUACCCCGCUGCUCUGACGGUACCCAAAGAAUAAGCACCGGCUAACUUCGUG